rnacentral:rRNA from 1 species
GAUGAACGCUGGCGGCGUGCCUAAUACAUGCAAGUCGAGCGAACACACCAGGCGCUUUCUCCUCUGACGUUAUCGGCGGAGGGGUUAUUAACACGUGUUUAACCUACCUCUAAGACUCUGAUACCUUCGGGAAACCGCAUCUCAUACCGGAUAAUAUAUUGCCCAACAUUGUUCCAUAGUGAAAUACGGUUUUUCUGUCACUUAUAGCUGGAUCCGCCCCGCAUUAGCUAGUUGGUAAGGUAACUGCUUACCAAGGCAGCGAUGCGUAGCCGACCUGAGAGGGUGAUCGGCCACACUGGAACUGAGAAACGGUAGAGACUCCGACGGGAGGCAGCAGUAGGGAAUCUUACGCAAGGGGGGAGAGCCGGACGGAGCAACGCCGCGGGAGGGAUGAAGGUGUUCGGAUCGGAAAACGAUGAUAGUAGGGAAGAACAAAUGUGUAAGUAACUAGGAAGGUAUUGACGGUACCGAAACAGAAAGCCACGGCUAACUACGUG